GAGUUUGAUCAUGGCUCAGAUUGAACGCUGGCGGCAGGCCUAACACAUGCAAGUCGAGCGGUAGCACAGAGAAGCUUGCUUCUUGGGUGACGAGCGGCGGACGGGUGAGUAACGCGUGGGAAUCUGCCUGGUAGUGGGGGACAACAGUCGGAAACGACUGCUAAUACCGCAUACGCCCUUCGGGGGAAAGUGGGGGAUCUUCGGACCUCGCGCUAUCAGAUGAGCCCGCGUCGGAUUAGCUUGUUGGUGAGGUAAGAGCUCACCAAGGCGAUGAUCCGUAUCUGGUCUGAGAGGAUGAUCAGCCACACUGGGACUGAGACACGGCCCAGACUCCUACGGGAGGCAGCAGUGGGGAAUAUUGGACAAUGGGCGCAAGCCUGACCCAGCAACGCCGUGUGAGGGAUGAAGGUCUUCGGAUUGUAAACCUCUGUCACAAGGGAAGAAGUGCACGAGGUCCAAUAGGCCUUGUGUUCGACGGUACCUUCAGAGGAAGCACCGGCUAACUCCGUGCCAGCAGCCGCGGUA
rnacentral:rRNA from 1 species